rnacentral:lncRNA from 1 species
CCGCUUGGUUUUUUCAUAUUAUACUCAAGUAACAUAUUGCUGUCAUCUUAUUGUUGUUGUCACCUUUUAUUGAUCCCCACGUGGACAUCUUAUUGCUAUUAGGAAUCAUCUUAUUGUUGGGCUUUCAUCAGUUUCAUGUGGGCUGAGUUGGUUUUUAUUGUUAUUGAUCCCCAUGUGGACAGUUUAUUGUAGCUUAUUGCUAUUGUUGGGCUUUCAUGUGGGCUGAG